CCCAAUUGCUCCUGUAAGUUGCUCUGGAUAAGAGCAUCUGCUAAAUGACUAAAA
rfam:Salmo salar isolate Sally breed double haploid chromosome ssa09, whole genome shotgun sequence.